ACUGCAGCCAGCCGAUGUGUUGGAAUUAAUUGGGCCAGGAGGCCGCCGGUCCCCUGGCUUCUGCGGUCAGUCUUUGUGGAUUUUUCUCUCGCUCUCUCCCAGCAAGUGCUGGGGCUGAGGGAUGUAUCAGUCCUUCCUCUGCAUGCAUUUCAAACUAGUAGAUGAAAGCUGCUGCUGGAACCAGCCUAAUUGGAGAGAAUUGCAGUUUAGAGGCCAAGAGCAAAGAUCUUCUCAACUGAAUUCCUUCACUGCGUCACAGGAGGCCGAUAGCUGAUAACUGGAUUUACAAGGUGCCCAUUCAAGAUGCAGAAAUAAGAGGAUGGCACACUUCACGAGACGGAUGCCUAAGGGCCCACAGCAAAGGAGAGAACGGCCCAGGACAGAACCGCUGAAGCCAUAUGCCAGAUGGCCCGUUCCUCCUUGGAAACGGCUUCUCUCGGAUGUGUGACAGCAACAAGGGUCUGACGGACACAGACUGCUGACUGUUUGGAUUCCAGUCUCAUCUUUUAUUUUUCCCUUAACAUCUGCUAUUGACUGUUUUAGGUUUAUUUUAGUAAUUCAUUUCUAUUUUUCUUUUCUUAUUGUAUGCAUCAUGUAUGGUGUCUUAAACUCUAAGACAGAGAAUGAAGGGGUGGAUGGAUACACGAACAAGAAAAGCUUGUUGGGGGUUAUGGUGACAGUGGUGUAAUGAUGACGUCUUGUUGGGGUGCACUUCACCAACCCCUUCUAAGUCGUGAAGAUGGUGGCAGUCCUUGAGGCCUCCCUUUCUCCUAGGAAGGGGGUGGUUGGGGACGGCAUCUGUGGUGGCUGGUCUUAACUGCCUACUUCGUGGACAAUCACAGUGGAAACCUAACUCUGGGUGGACUUGCAAUGGCGUUUUCAGAGGGGUUUAGCUGAGAGAAGGAAGACCUGCUCUGACUGUGAGCCAGGCCACCUGACUGAAUCAGUCAGGAGUGACUGAUGACGUCACCGUGGAGUGGCGCUUCAGAGAAAAGGAGCUGAACACCAGCAUUUGCUGUGGGAUGGUCUUUAUGUCAAAUGUGUUGCUGAUUGGUCAAUGAAUAAAUCACUGAUUGGCAGUGGCCAGGCAGGAAGUGUAGGCGGGACAAGGAGGAGAAUAGAGCUGGGAAGUGGAAGGCUGAGUCAGAGAGACACUGCCAGCCGCCAUCAGGAUAAGGAAGAUGUAAAGUACCGGUAAGCCACAAGCCAUGUGGCAAGGUAUAGAUUAAUAGAAAUGGAUUAAUUUAAGCUGUAAGAACAGUUAGCAAGAAGCCUGCCACGGCCAUACAGUUUGAAACCAAUAUAAGUCUCUGUGUUUACUUGAUCGGGUUUGAGCGGCUUGGGACUGGCGGGUGAGAGAUUUAUCCUGACUGUGGGCCAGGCAGAAAAACUCGAGCAACAAGCAUUCAUCUUUCUCUGAUUCCCAGAUGCAGACACGAUGUGUCCAGGUGUCUCAGGCUUUGUCACCAUGGCAGGAGUCGUGCCGGGGACUCCACACUGGGAUGGACUGUACCUCCAAACUCAGAGCCGGAUGGAGGCCUUCCUCCCUUAAAUUGCUUAUGCCAGAUGUAUUGUCACAGCAGAGAGAAAAAUGACCGAUACAAAUAAUGACCGAACCGUUAUCCGACAGUGGACGCUCGGGGGUUUCUAAGACAUGGCUGUGGAGGCGAGAUGGUGGACAGAGGAUACAGUGACAGGUCCUUGCGGUUGUUGAGAUGGGGUACUCCAGAGGAAAAUGGACACCAAGGAAACUGUCCUAAGUGAAGAUGACAGGAUUUUAUCAGUGCUGUUCGGGUACCCUAAUCUGAAGAAAAAUUUUUUGGGGGAAACUAAGAUGUGUGUCUCUUAAGUGUCUCCACGGGGAAACUUGACCCAGAUUACUUAUCACAAAUGGAUUCAGUAGAAUGCUGGGUGAAGGUGGGGUCUCCCGGACCAGAAGCAUUCAAAGACCAUGCAGCCUCAGUAGGCCACUAAAGAACCUGACAGGACUCCUGUGGAACAGCCUCCUGCAUUCCGAGAGGAGCUAGCUCCCUGCGCCAUUUUUCAUUACCUCACAAUCUGUCACUGUUUGAUCAGUCAAUUCAGACCCACAAUUAAAUGGGAAGAAAAAGAGUCAAAGUGAUUGUUUUACUUUUUUUGUAAGAAUUGAUUGUUCGGCGCGGACAAAAAUGUUGAUCCCGUUUUGCAUGUGGAGAUAGUCAAUUUAGAAGGACUGUUCUUGCCUAAGCCCAGGGUGACAGAAAUGAAAUCUGACAUUGCAGCCGAGGCUGGCAUGAGGGAGAAGGUGAAUGAAUUACCAGCUCCUUAGAGCUUUUUCCUCGGGCUUCUCGGCAUUCUGCAAUCUGGUGACUUCAGCAGAGUGGCGUCAAUUAUUGACAAUUUAAUAAACAUUAAGCAAACAUAUAUAAUUGGUAGUUAUUUGAUGGUGGGGAACCACUGACUCUGUCUAGCGGGCGGAAGCCCUAGAGAUGUGGGGUAACAGAUGAAACAUGGCCCAUGGAAUAAGGACCAGCAGUGUCUUAGAGUAUUUACCUUCAUUAUAUAGCCAAGGAAGUUAAAGAGAACUGAGUGAUCAACACUUUCCCUUUUAAGUUCCAAACCCUAGCCAGGAGGAAGAGAGUCCAACAUGAUGAAGCAGAAAGUCUCUUUCUUUCUGUGUUGCACACUAAAGUAGUCUUGGAGAAUGCAAAUGGCAAAAGACAAAGAAGCCCAGAAUGUUCACGAUAGUCUGGCAAUUAAAGCUGAAACCAAUAGGAAGAGAUUAGAAAAGGUGCAAACUCUUUACCCUGGGAGCAUUGUGGGUAACCCAGGCUUGUCCGGUGAAUGUAAGGCUCAUACCUCUGGGAAAAGAGAGGGAUACUGAGGGAUCUGACCAAUCACCUGAGACUGCAUCUUAAGAAGAAAUGGGUGAGCUUUGUUGCUGGAACUCUGUUGAGAGAUGGAGGAACACCCUCAGAGAAGAAGGCCUUAUGGAAAACCUACCCAGUGACCUCAAAUCACACGAUUAUUAAAUUCGCCAACUGUGUCUAUUUUUGCUGUUCCCAAGUAAUGAAUAAAAUCAUCUAAAGUGCCUAGAAAUAUGUUCUUAAGGGUUAUGAAAUAUAAAUCAAGACUCAGAAGGAUUUGGUAGCCUAUGCAGUAUUCUCAGUGUUUCUUGUGUCAACAACUGGGAUUCGGGGCAAGGGAAGUCAAGUUGGCUAACAGUAGACUCUGGAGAUGACAUUAUGGACAGGCUCUAGAUCACUGAGGCAUGACCUAAGAUGUCAAGAGGUGGGUGAUGGCUUAGUGUACCAGUGUGCAUUUCAGGAAGAGACGAAAGAAUUCGCCCAGCCAUUCACUGACCACAAUGAGAAUAUUUUAUCCAUUCAAGCCUUGCAAAUGUUCAUAACCCUUUUGAGGUGGACACUGAGAUUUGCUGAUCUAGGCAGUCCUCAGGGGAGAUGACUCAGUUGGGAAAGUGCUUGCUCUGCCAGCGUGGGGACCCGAGUUCAAUCCCUGGUAUCCGACAUAAAAAGCUGAGUGUGGUGGAAUGUGCUCGAAUUCCAGCACUGGAGGGUACAGACAGGAA